GAUGAAGAACGUAGUGAAAUGCGAUAAGUAAUGCGAAUUGCAGAAUUUCCGUGAGUCAUCGAAUCUUUGAACGCACAUUGCGCCCAUUAGUAUUCUAGUGGGCAUGCCUGUUCGAGCGUCAUUAAGUCCACUUAAGCCCUGCUUAGUGUUGGGAGACUGCUCCAGCGGUGCUACCCUGUAGCUACCCUGCAGCUCCUCAAAGACAGCGGCGGAGUUGUGGUAUCCUCUGAGCUUAGUAACUUGUUCUAGCUUUCGAGUACACCACUUCCCCUGCCGUAAAACCCUUAAUUUUUAAUGGUUGACCUCGGAUCAGGUAGGAAUACCCGCUGAACUUAAGCAUAUCAAUAAGCGGAGGA
rnacentral:misc_RNA from 1 species